rnacentral:lncRNA from 1 species
AUGGACGAGGUGCUUGCUGGGGUUGGUGUGUUUUUGCUGCUAGGUGUUACCUUUGUCUCCCUGAUGGGAAAACGCUCUGCGCUGUCUCCAAAUACUGCCCCAGAGCGAUGAAGAAGUGAUGAAGAACACUGGGGAUUCGAGUGUAUACCUGUGUAAAUAUGCAAGCGUAAAAUAUGUGCUGUUUCCGAGUCCACGAGGGCAUAAUAGGAACCUGCAGCAAAGACCAGGAAUGCCUUGGCACUUUCUGACCCAGGA